rnacentral:rRNA from 1 species
UCAACUGGAGAGUUUGAUCCUGGCUCAGAACGAACGCUGGCGGCAUGCUUAACACAUGCAAGUCGAACGCGAAAGCUUCCUUCGGGAAGCGAGUAGA